rnacentral:rRNA from 1 species
GGUUAAGUGACUAAGCGUACACGGUGGAUGCCUAGGCAGUCAGAGGCGAUGAAGGGCGUGCUAAUCUGCGAAAAGCGUCGGUAAGGUGAUAUGAACCGUUACAACCGGCGAUACCCGAAUGGGGAAACCCAGUGUGUUUCGACACACUAUCAUGUCAUGAAUACAUAGUGGCAUGAGGCGAACCGGGGAACUGAAACAUCUAAGUACCCCGAGGAAAAGAAAUCAACCGAGAUUCCCCAGUAGCGGCGAGCGAACGGGGAGGAGCCCAGAACCUGAAUCGGCUUGUGUGUUAGUGGAAGCGUCUGGAAAGUCGCGCAGCAAAGGGUGAUAGCCCCGUACACUAAAAUGCACAGGUCGUGAGUUCGAUGAGUAGGGCGGGACACGUGACAUCCUGUCUGAAUAUGGGGGGACCAUCCUCCAAGGCUAAAUACUCCUGACUGACCGAUAGUGAACCAGUACCGUGAGGGAAAGGCGAAAAGAACCCCGGCGAGGGGAGUGAAAUAGAACCUGAAACCGUGUACGUACAAGCAGUGGGAGCACCUUCGUGGUGUGACUGCGUACCUUUUGUAUAAUGGGUCAGCGACUUAUAUUUUGUAGCAAGGUUAACCGUAUGGGGGAGCCGUAGGGAAACCGAGUCUUAACUGGGCGAAUAGUUGCAAGGUAUAGACCCGAAACCCGGUGAUCUAGCCAUGGGCAGGUUGAAGGUUGGGUAACACUAACUGGAGGACCGAACCGACUAAUGUUGAAAAAUUAGCGGAUGACUUGUGGCUGGGGGUGAAAGGCCAAUCAAACCGGGAGAUAGCUGGUUCUCCCCGAAAGCUAUUUAGGUAGCGCCUCGUGAACUCAUCUUCGGGGGUAGAGCACUGUUUCGGCUAGGGGGCCAUCCCGGCUUACCAAACCGAUGCAAACUCCGAAUACCGAAGAAUGUUAUCACGGGAGACACACGGCGGGUGCUAACGUCCGUCGUGAAGAGGGAAACAACCCAGACCGCCAGCUAAGGUCCCAAAGUCAUGGUUAAGUGGGAAACGAUGUGGGAAGGCAUAGACAGCCAGGAUGUUGGCUUAGAAGCAGCCAUCAUUUAAAGAAAGCGUAAUAGCUCACUGGUCGAGUCGGCCUGCGCGGAAGAUGUAACGGGGCUAAACCAUGCACCGAAGCUGCGGCAGCGACGCUUAGGCGUUGUUGGGUAGGGGAGCGUUCUGUAAGCCGUUGAAGGUGGCCUGUGAGGGUUGCUGGAGGUAUCAGAAGUGCGAAUGCUGACAUAAGUAACGAUAAAGCGGGUGAAAAGCCCGCUCGCCGGAAGACCAAGGGUUCCUGUCCAACGUUAAUCGGGGCAGGGUGAGUCGACCCCUAAGGCGAGGCUGAAAAGCGUAGUCGAUGGGAAACAGGUUAAUAUUCCUGUACUUGGUGUUACUGCGAAGGGGGGACGGAGAAGGCUAGGCUAGCCGGGCGACGGUUGUCCCGGUUUAAGCGUGUAGGGGGUGUGACCUGGUAAAUCCGGUUGCAUAUCAACCCUGAGGCGUGAUGACGAUGCACUACGGUGCAGAAGUAGUUGAUGCCCUGCUUCCAGGAAAAGCCUCUAAGCUCUAGGUAACAUUGAAUCGUACCCCAAACCGACACAGGUGGUCAGGUAGAGAAUACCAAGGCGCUUGAGAGAACUCGGGUGAAGGAACUAGGCAAAAUGGUGCCGUAACUUCGGGAGAAGGCACGCUGGCAUGUAGGUGAAGUCCUUCGCGGAUGGAGCUGAAGCCAGUCGAAGAUACCAGCUGGCUGCAACUGUUUAAUAAAAACACAGCACUGUGCAAACACGAAAGUGGACGUAUACGGUGUGACGCCUGCCCGGUGCUGGAAGGUUAAUUGAUGGGGUCAGCCGCAAGGCGAAGCUCUUGAUCGAAGCCCCAGUAAACGGCGGCCGUAACUAUAACGGUCCUAAGGUAGCGAAAUUCCUUGUCGGGUAAGUUCCGACCUGCACGAAUGGCGUAAUGAUGGCCAGGCUGUCUCCACCCGAGACUCAGUGAAAUUGAACUCGCUGUGAAGAUGCAGUGUACCCGCGGCAAGACGGAAAGACCCCGUGAACCUUUACUAUAGCUUGACACUGAACAUUGAGCCUUGAUGUGUAGGAUAGGUGGGAGGCUUUGAAGCGUGGACGCCAGUCUGCGUGGAGCCAUCCUUGAAAUACCACCCUUUAAUGUUUGAUGUUCUAACUCGGCCCCAUAAUCUGGGGUGAGGACAGUGUCUGGUGGGUAGUUUGACUGGGGCGGUCUCCUCCCAAAGAGUAACGGAGGAGCACGAAGGUUAGCUAAUCACGGUCGGACAUCGUGAGGUUAGUGCAAAGGCAUAAGCUAGCUUGACUGCGAGAGUGACGGCUCGAGCAGGUACGAAAGUAGGUCUUAGUGAUCCGGUGGUUCUGAAUGGAAGGGCCAUCGCUCAACGGAUAAAAGGUACUCCGGGGAUAACAGGCUGAUACCGCCCAAGAGUUCAUAUCGACGGCGGUGUUUGGCACCUCGAUGUCGGCUCAUCACAUCCUGGGGCUGAAGUAGGUCCCAAGGGUAUGGCUGUUCGCCAUUUAAAGUGGUACGCGAGCUGGGUUUAGAACGUCGUGAGACAGUUCGGUCCCUAUCUGCCGUGGGCGUUGGAAGAUUGAGAGGGGUUGCUCCUAGUACGAGAGGACCGGAGUGAACGCACCACUGGUGUUCGGGUUGUCAUGCCAAUGGCAUUGCCCGGUAGCUAAGUGCGGAAAAGAUAAGCGCUGAAAGCAUCUAAGCGCGAAACUUGCCUCAAGAUGAGUCUUCCCUGGGCCUUUAAGGUCCCUGAAGGAACGUUUAAGACUAAGACGUUGAUAGGCUGGGUGUGUAAGUGCAGCGAUGCAUUGAGCUAACCAGUACUAAUGAUCCGUGAGGCUUAACCUU